rnacentral:lncRNA from 1 species
UGUGACCAUGUCAUAUUAGGGCAUCACUUUUGCUGAAAUUAAGUUGCAUGCCGUAUCCAUGGAUAUCCCCGUGCAGACAUGCACAUAGACCCCAUUAAUAUAUUGGAUGAAUCUUUUUUUUUUUGGUAAAAAACGGCUACUCAUUCAUAUAGAUCUAACAUGAGUACAACCCGCCACGUCCGUAGAAAUAAAAGACAACAAAGGAGAAGGAGCGUCUAUAGUAGACGUCCACAAAACAUCCCCGGAAUGCCGGGCCACAAAAGAGGCGACCCGGUCUGCGGCCCUGUUCGCCUCUCUAAACACAUGACCAAUCUGAAAUCCGACCAUCAUCUAAGCCAUCCUCCGAGUCUCCCGAAUAAGGGGGUGACCGUCACCGUACCUGUCCACCCCCGAAUCCAAUCGAUCACCACCACAGAGUCUCCCUCAAGGAACACUCGCUCGGCGCCAAGGACCUGCCU